rnacentral:lncRNA from 1 species
AUGAAUCGAGGCUCCAGCAUCAAACUCUCUUUUCCCCAGUGGAGCCUGGUGGGAUUUAUCGGAGCAGCCUGGCUCCCUCUGCGACCCUCCCUCCAGAACAGCGGCCCUGUGACUCCGGGAGGGCGCAGCUCACCAGAGAACAACACGAUGCUGAGACCCGGGUACUGUUUGUCACCGCAGCACACAGACUGGAGCGGCCCAAGAAACAGCAAAAAGACAAAAAAAAAGAAGAGGAAGAAAGUGGAGCCUCGGACCUUUGAAGGAGAGGCUCCCUCCCACCGCACAGCAAGAAGGCACUGUCUGCGAGCCUGGAAAAGGGCCCUCAGCAGAGGGCGGCCCUGCCGGCACCCUGAACGUGGACUUCCAGGCUCCAGAGCUGGGAGGAGCGACCACAGUGGUUUCAGCCGCCCCGUCGGUGGUGUUCAGCUCCAGCAGCCCAGGCUCAGACGCCACAUCACGGCAUUAGGGUGAUUCCUCUUCUCCCGAGUGUCCGGUGUCUCGUUGAAGGAGAACCGCAACCUCGAACCUUUCACCUCUUUGCCCUUCGGUGGGUGCUCUUCAUGAGCAGCCACUUCAGCAAACACACACAGGCAGACCCCCGGCGGGCGGACCUGCGCGCGUCCCCAGUCACGGUGGCACUGCCAACCUAGGUGGCGGCAGAGAGCGCCCCCAGCCCGCCGAGCG